UACGUAGGGGGCAAGCGUUGUCCGGAUUUACUGGGCGUAAAGCGUGCGUAGGUGGUGAGUUAAGUCUGUCGUGAAAGCCCCGGGCUCAACCUGGGAAUGGCGAUGGAUACUGGCUCGCUAGAGUGCGGUAGAGGGUGGUGGAAUUCCCGGUGUAGCAGUGAAAUGCGUAGAGAUCGGGAGGAACAUCAGUUGCGAAGGCGGCCACCUGGACCAGCACUGACACUGAGGCACGAAAGCGUGGGGAGCAAACAGG
rnacentral:rRNA from 1 species